rnacentral:rRNA from 1 species
GAUGAACGCUGGCGGCGUGCCUAAUACAUGCAAGUCGAGCGAACGGACGAGAAGCUUGCUUCUCUGAUGUUAGCGGCGGACGGGUGAGUAACACGUGGAUAACCUACCUAUAAGACUGGGAUAACUUCGGGAAACCGGAGCUAAUACCGGAUAAUAUUUUGAACCGCAUGGUUCAAAAGUGAAAGACGGUCUUGCUGUCACUUAUAGAUGGAUCCGAGCUGCAUUAGCUAGUUGGUAAGGUAACGGCUUACCAAGGCAACGAUGCAUAGCCGACCUGAGAGGGUGCUCGGCCACACUGGAACUGAGACACGGUCCAGACUCCUACGGUAGGCAGCAGUAGGGAAUCUUCCGCAAUGGGCGAAAGCUUGACGGAGCAACGCCGCGUGAGUGAUGAAGGUCUUCGGAUCGUAAAACUCUGUUAUUAGGGAAGAACAUAUGUGUAAGUAACUGUGCACAUCUUGACGGUACCUAAUCAGAAAGCCACGGCUAACUACGUG